rnacentral:rRNA from 1 species
AUUGAACGCUGGCGGCAGGCCUAACACAUGCAAGUCGAGCGGUAGAGAGGUGCUUGCAUCUCUUGAGAGCGGCGGACGGGUGAGUAAUGCCUAGGAAUCUGCCUAGUGGUGGGGGAUAAACGUUCGGAAACGGACGCUAAUACCGCAUACGUCCUACGGGAGAAAGCGGGGGAUCUUCGGACCUCGCGCCAUUAGAUGAGCCUAGGUCGGAUUAGCUAGUUGGUGAGGUAAUGGCUCACCAAGGCGACGAUCCGUAACUGGUCUGAGAGGACGACCAGCCACACUGGGACUGAGACACGGCCCAGACUCCUAGGGAGGCAGCAG